rnacentral:rRNA from 1 species
CCCCAGUAGACGGUGGGAUCGGCGUCCGGUUCGGUGGCGGCGAACAGGGUGGAGUGCGCGGCCUUGUGCGGCGGAUGCCCGAUGAGCUUGAUGAAUGGCUUGCUCACCCGGUCGAUCGGGGUCUCGGUGCGGGCGAACAGAUCGGUCGCCGAGACACCGGGGUGCACGGCGUAGGACUUCUUCGCCGAGCCCGCCUCGGUGAGCCUGCGCUGCAGUUCGCGGCCGAACAUGAGGUUGGCGAGCUUGGCUUGGGCGUAGGCGAGAUUGCGCUGGUAGCGGCGGUUCUCGUAGUUGAGGUCGUCGAUCCACAGCUUGGGGGUCUGCUUGUGCGCGAUGCUGGCCAGCGACACCACCCGGUCGCCGAUCCGGUCGAGCAGCAGCGCGGUGAGCGCGAAGUGGCCGAGGUGGUUGACGCCGAACUGGGUCUCGAAUCCGUCGGCGGUGCGCGAGAACGGGAUGUUCAUCAGGCCCGCGUUGUUGAUCAGCACGUCGAAGUCGCCCUGUUGUUCGGCGAACGCGCGCACCGAGGCCAGAUCGGCGAGGUCGAGCGCGGCGACUCGCACGUCGCCGGGAAUGGCGUCGGCGAUCGGCUGCGCCUUGGCCGCGUUGCGGCAGGCCAUGAUCACGGUGGCGCCCUUGCCUGCCAGCACCUUCGUGGUUUCGGCGCCGAGGCCGCCGUUGGCCCCGGUGAUCACGAACGUGCGCCCGCUCUGGUCCGCGAUGUCAGUUGGUUUCCAUGCCAUGCACCGACCUUACUCCUGAGUAAGAUAGGAGGGAAGUGGGCAGCCGGGCAGUCCUGUCAGCGUACGGGCGCCGCCGGGUCCGGUCGACCACGCCGUGCGCUCACGCGUCGGCGGCGAUUGCUGGAUGGCCUAGGGGGCCUACAAGCUUACCGAAGUCAGCCAAACUCCGAAUGCCGGUGUGUGAGAGCGUGGCAGUGAGACUGCGGGGGAUAAGCUUCGUAGUCGAGAGGGAAACAGCCCAGAUCGCCGGCUAAGGCCCCUAAGCGUGUACUAAGUGGAAAAGGAUGUGGGGUCGCUUAGACAACCAGGAGGUUGGCUUAGAAGCAGCCACCCUUGAAAGAGUGCGUAAUAGCUCACUGGUCAAGUGAUCCUGCGCCGACAAUGUAGCGGGGCUCAAGUACACCGCCGAAGCCGCGGCAUUCACGCAAUAGCCCGUCCCAGCUGUAGUGGUUGGGGCCAGGUGUGUGGAUGGGUAGGGGAGCGUCCUGUGGCCGUGGAAGCAGCAGUGUGAACUAGCUGUGGAGGCCAUGGGAGUGAGAAUGCAGGCAUGAGUAGCGAAAGACGAGUGAGAAACUCGUCCGCCGAAUGACCAAGGGUUCCUGGGCCAGGUUAAUCCGCCCAGGGUGAGUCGGGACCUAAGGCGAGGCCGACAGGCGUAGUCGAUGGACAACGGGUUGAUAUUCCCGUACCCGUGUAUCCGCGCCCAAUGCUGAAUCAGUUGUGCUAAGUAUCCAAAUGUUGUCUUACCGAGCCUUCGGGUGAGGGGGAUGAUGGCUGCAUAUGACCCUGACUGUAGUAGGUAAGCGAUGGGGUGACGCAGGAAGGUAGCUGGGCCAGGUGAUGGAAUACCUGGUGUAAGCGUGUAGGGAGUGUGAUAGGCAAAUCCGUCACACAUGUGUCCUGAGACGUGAUGCGUACCCGUUGAGGGGAAUUCAGUGAUCCUAUGCUGCCGAGAAAAGCCUCUAGCGAGCUGGUACAUGGCCCGUACCCCAAACCGACACAGGUGGUCAGGUAGAGAAUACUAAGGCGAUCGAGAGAACUGUGGUUAAGGAACUCGGCAAAAUGCCCCCGUAACUUCGGGAGAAGGGGGACCACAUCUGGUGAUGAUCUUUACGGUCUGAGCUGGGUGGGGUCGCAGAGACCAGAGAGAAGCGACUGUUUACUAAAAACACAGGUCCGUGCGAAGUCGUAAGACGAUGUAUACGGACUGACGCCUGCCCGGUGCCGGAAGGUUAAGAGGACCGGUUAGCCACUUGUGGCGAAGCUGAGAAUUUAAGCCCCGGUAAACGGCGGUGGUAACUAUAACCAUCCUAAGGUAGCGAAAUUCCUUGUCGGGUAAGUUCCGACCUGCACGAAUGGCGUAACGACUUCUCUGCUGUCUCAACCACAGACUCGGCGAAAUUGCAUUACGAGUAAAGAUGCUCGUUACGCGCGGCAGGACGAAAAGACCCCGGGACCUUCACUAUAGCUUGGUAUUGGUGUUCGGUACGGUUUGUGUAGGAUAGGUGGGAGACUGUGAAGCGGGCACGCUAGUGUUUGUGGAGUCGUCGUUGAAAUACCACUCUGAUCGUAUUGGACUUCUAACCUCGGACCAUGAUCUGGUUCAGGGACAGUGCCUGGUGGGUAGUUUAACUGGGGCGGUUGCCUCCUAAAAUGUAACGGAGGCGCCCAAAGGUUCCCUCAGCCUGGUUGGCAAUCAGGUGUUGAGUGCAAGUGCACAAGGGAGCUUGACUGUGAGACUGACAGGUCGAGCAGGGACGAAAGUCGGGACUAGUGAUCCGGCACCGGCAAGUGGAAGCGGUGUCGCUCAACGGAUAAAAGGUACCCCGGGGAUAACAGGCUGAUCUUCCCCAAGAGUCCAUAUCGACGGGAUGGUUUGGCACCUCGAUGUCGGCUCGUCGCAUCCUGGGGCUGGAGUAGGUCCCAAGGGUUGGGCUGUUCGCCCAUUAAAGCGGCACGCGAGCUGGGUUUAGAACGUCGUGAGACAGUUCGGUCUCUAUCCGCCGCGCGCGUUAGAAACUUGAGGAAGGCUGUCCCUAGUACGAGAGGACCGGGACGGACGAACCUCUGGUGUGCCAGUUGUUCCGCCAGGAGCACUGCUGGUUGGCUACGUUCGGAAGGGAUAACCGCUGAAAGCAUCUAAGCGGGAAGCCUGUUCCAAGAUGAGGUUUCUCUCCACCUUGAGUGGUUAAGGCCCCCUACAGACCAUGGGGUUGAUAGGCCGGAACUGGAAGCCAGGUAACUGGUGUAGGUGACUGGUACUAAUAGGCCGAGGGCUUAUUAU